GACGAACGCUGGCGGCGUGCUUAACACAUGCAAGUCGAACGAAGAGCGAUGGAAGCUUGCUUCUCUCAAUCUUAGUGGCGAACGGGUGAGUAACGCGUAAUCAACCUGCCCUUCAGAGGGGGACAACAGUUGGAAACGACUGCUAAUACCGCAUACGAUCUAACCUCGGCAUCGAGGAUAGAUGAAAGGUGGCCUCUACAUGUAAGCUCUCACUGAAGGAGGGGAUUGCGUCUGAUUAGCUAGUUGGAGGGGUAACGGCCCACCAAGGCGAUGAUCAGUAGCCGGUCUGAGAGGAUGAACGGCCACAUUGGGACUGAGACACGGCCCAGACUCCUACGGGAGGCAGCAGUGGGGAAUCUUCCGCAAUGGACGAAAGUCUGACGGAGCAACGCCGCGUGAGUGAUGACGGCCUUCGGGUUGUAAAGCUCUGUUAAUCGGGACGAAAGGCCUUCUUGCGAAUAGUUAGAAGGAUUGACGGUACCGGAAUAGAAAGCCACGGCUAACUACGUG
rnacentral:rRNA from 1 species